UGCUUUGAAAGCAUCUAAAUGCAAUUCUCUGCCCUCUGUGGACACUGUGAAGAAAUCACAUCUACCCCUCCAUAGCAUGGAUCAGAAAGGGUUAUGAGAAAAGAGAACUUUGAAAAAGGCAGGAUCAGCACUGUGUCCAAGAGUGAAAGUCAAAUUCAAGAGGAAGUGCUUGUCCUACAUUGGCCAAUAGAAGCAGGAGCACACAGAGGAGGAUUAGAAGACAAAUCAACUAAAGCUAAUUGUAGUCGCUCUCAACAGUAGAGAAGCAAAAGGCCAGACUCUUCAAAGUCUUUGUAAAAGGCCAGAACAGGAUGGAUGGUAUUAAGGAAUUAUUAAUACUUACUGAGCUCUUGCAGAACUUUUCCCUUAUUUAUCAUCCCUUGGCCAGUAACUGAGAAGAGCUUCUUGGAGGAUAUACUACCUGCCUUCUCAUCUCAACCAAUAUCAAUCAAGUCAGGCAAUAUUUUAGGUACUGAAGAUAUAGGAGUGAACAGAAGUCCACAUACCUGUCUUCUUCAAGAUUAUAUUUUCACUCAAGUGAUAGACAUAAAUAAAUU
ensembl:lncRNA